AAGUUGUUAGUAUUUGCAAUA
rnacentral:snRNA from 1 species